CCUACGGGUGGCAGCAGUGAGGAAUAUUGGUCAAUGGGCGCGAGCCUGAACCAGCCAAGUAGCGUGAAGGAUGACUGCCCUACGGGUUGUAAACUUCUUUUAUAAAGGAAUAAAGUGAGGCACGUGUGCCUUUUUGCAUGUACUUUAUGAUUAAGGAUCGGCUAACUCCGUGCCAGCAGCCGCGGUAUUACGGAGGUUCCGAGCGUUAUCCGGAUUUAUUGGGUUUAAAGGGAGCGUAGGUGGGUUGUUAAGUCAGGUGUGAAAGUUUGCGGCUCAACCCUAAAAUUGCAAUUGAUACUGGCAGUCUUGAGUACAGGUGAGGUAGGCGGAAUGCGUGGUGUAGCGGUGAAAUGCUUAGAUAUCACGCAGAACUCCGAUUGCGAAGGCAGCUUACUAAACUGCCACUGACAUUGAUGCUCGAAAGUGUGGGUAUCAAACAGGAUUAGAUACCCCAGUAGUC
rnacentral:rRNA from 1 species